rnacentral:rRNA from 1 species
AUUGAACGCUGGCGGCAUGCCUUACACAUGCAAGUCGAACGGUAACGGGCCUUCGGGUGCCGACGAGUGGCGAACGGGUGAGUAAUACAUCGGAACGUGCCCGAUCGUGAGGGAUAACGAGGCGAAAGCUUUGCUAAUACCGCAUACGAUCUACGGAUGAAAGCAGGGGACCGCAAGGCCUUGCGCGGACGGAGCGGCCGAUGGCAGAUUAGGUAGUUGGUGGGAUAAAAGCUUACCAAGCCGACGAUCUGUAGCUGGUCUGAGAGGAUGAUCAGCCACACUGGGACUGAGACACGGCCCAGACUCCUACGGGAGGCAGCAGUGGGGAAUUUUGGACAAUGGGCGCAAGCCUGAUCCAGCCAUGCCGCGUGCAGGAUGAAGGCCUUCGGGUUGUAAACUGCUUUUGUACGGAACGAAAAGCCUUCUUUUAAUACAGGAGGGUCAUGACGGUACCGUAAGAAUAAGCACCGGCUAACUACGUG